rnacentral:rRNA from 1 species
GACGAACGCUGGCGGCGUGCUUAACACAUGCAAGUCGAACGGAAAGGCCUCUUUCGGGGGGUACUCGAGUGGCGAACGGGUGAGUAACACGUGAGUAACCUGCCCUUGACUUUGGGAUAACUUCAGGAAACUGGGGCUAAUACCGGAUAGGAGCUCCUGCUGCAUGGUGGGGGUUGGAAAGUUUCGGCGGUUGGGGAUGGACUCGCGGCUUAUCAGCUUGUUGGUGGGGUAGUGGCUUACCAAGGCUUUGACGGGUAGCCGGCCUGAGAGGGUGACCGGCCACAUUGGGACUGAGAUACGGCCCAGACUCCUACGGGAGGCAGCAGUGGGGAAGAUUGCACAAUGGGUGGAAGCCUGAUGCAGCAACGCCGUGUGCGGGAUGACGGCCUUCGGGUUGUAAACCGCUUUCGCUCAUGACGAAGCUUUGUGUGACGGUAGUGGGUAAAGAAGCACCGGCUAACUACGU